rnacentral:sRNA from 1 species
ACAAUGAAGUACAAGACCUCAGACAGACGUCCUUUUGCCGAGGUCUGAUUAUUUGGAGAGGUAGUUUUAGGACUAUUGGAUACUGGUGCAGUGGUUAGCUGUAUUGGAGGGAGUUCGGAGGAGACCGGAAAGGCUACCUACGAGCGGUAGGAUAAGCAAGGGCGAGCGAUAGGCACCUAUCAUGUCAAAGAGGUGAAACAGUAGUUCUCGCCUCCGUGAUUGAGCUAAACAGGAUCGUUUGAGAUCCUGUUCUAGCUCUUGAGAAGGGGGCAUUUUGUAACGUCGGCGAUAGGUCGACCGGGUUGGCAGCCUGGGGGGGUGCGGUGUUUCAGCCUUUCUGGCAGCCCGAUCGCGUAAUAGGACCCUAUUCAGCGUUUCGUGGAGGAUCUGAUCGAUCUGGUAACGCGCUCAAAGCUAAGGUUAGGAAACCGCGUGGGAGCGGCGUUCUUUUUGAAUUUAACCACGAAACAAGCAAGUUCGUGCAAGCAAGGAGAAGCAUCCGGAAAUUUUCGAGCAACUGCAGCGUAGUUUUACCCGCUGAGGAACCAUCGUGCUGGGGCAGGACCAGCAGGCAUACAGAAAGAGGGCCACAAGCGGCAAUUUGGCGGUGUACGUACUGCUCAGUCAAGGCAGGGCGCGAUCGUAGAAGCUAGCUAGGUCAGGGGUACCAGCGUGCGAGCUAGACCCCUGGUGACAGAGAGGCAUAGUGCGAGCAACGCUUGGCCAGAAGAAGAAGAGAAGAGCGGGUCACAGUUGCGGCGCGAAUCUCUCAGUCAGGCCGCCCACGAGGCGGGGCUGAGGGGAGUCAUCAAAACCAAGUAGGAGCUGGAGAUACCGUGAGCUCGACCUGAAGUGAAGCAAUCGGAGCGUUCGCGACGCUUUAAGGGGCGCUCCGCCAGAGAUCCGGAUAGGGUUCGGCCCUAACCUCACAGGAGUCGCCGUAAAGUAGGCGCCAUCCUGGAGCAGUGACGAAGGACGGAGUGCUGGCGGCGCUUUAAGCAGCACCCCGUCGAUCACAGGAGCCGUCGUGUAGUAGGCGCCAUCCUGGAGUAGUGAAGGAAGACGGAGUGCUGGCGGCGCUUUAAGCAGCACCACGCCGGUCGCAGGAGCCGCCGUGCAGUAGGCGUCCUCCUGGAGGAGU